UACGUAGGGUGCGAGCGUUAAUCGGAAUUACUGGGCGUAAAGCGUGCGCAGGCGGUUCUGCAAGUCAGAUGUGAAAUCCCCGGGCUUAACCUGGGACUGCGUUUGAAACUACGGAGCUAGAGUGCGGCAGAGGGGGGGUGGAAUUCCACGUGUAGCAGUGAAAUGCGUAGAUAUGUGGAGGAACACCGAUGGCGAAGGCAGCCCCCCUGGGCCGACACUGACGCUCAGGCACGAAAGCGUGGGGAGCAAACAGG
rnacentral:rRNA from 1 species